rnacentral:rRNA from 1 species
CGCAUCUGUGCAUGCAGCAUAUCAAUAAGCGGAGGAAAAGAAGCUAACAAGGAUUCCCCUAGUAACGGCGAGUGAAGCGGGAAGAGCUCAAAUUUGAAAUCUUAAAGGGUUUCCCUUUACGAAUUGUAGUUUAAAGAAGUGUUUUCUGUUGAGGUUUUGGUAAAAGUUCUUUGGAAUAGGACAUCAUAGAGGGUGAGAAUCCCGUAUUUGACCUUUACUUUCAACUUUGUGAUACACUUUCAAAGAGUCGGAUUGUUUGGGAAUGCAGUCCAAAAUGGGUGGUAACUUUCAUCUAAAGCUAAAUAUUGGCGAGAGACCGAUAGCGAACAAGUACCGUGAGGGAAAGAUGAAAAGAACUUUGAAAAGAGAGUUAAACAGUACGUGAAAUUGUCAAAAGGGAAGCGUUUGACACCAGUGUUGUUUUUCUGAAAAUCAAUUAAAGAACUGUUUAUGCUAAGUUGUUUAGACUUUAUCAGCUAUCUGUUUAGUUUUGAGCUUUUCUUUAAUGCACUUUUCAGUUAACAAGUCAACAUCAAUUUCUUUUGCUGUAAAAAAGCUUGAGGAAGGUGGCUUGAGAUUCGUCUUAAGUGUUUAUAGCCUCUUGCCUAUGCAGUCGGAGAGAUUGAGGUCUGCAGCGUAGAUCCUUCGGGGCUAAAUGCAUUUGUGCUAAGUUAUAGCAUUUUAUAGACAACUUGUUGACUAUGAUUUGUCUUGUAGCUUACUCGCUUAUGUUAUUUUACCUACGCUUAGGAUGUUGACGAGACUGUCGAUCUC